CCUACGGGAGGCAGCAGUGGGGAAUAUUGCACAAUGGGCGAAAGCCUGAUGCAGCGACGCCGCGUGAGGGAUGACGGCCUUCGGGUUGUAAACCUCUUUCAGCAGGGAAGAAGCGAAAGUGACGGUACCUGCAGAAGAAGCGCCGGCUAACUACGUGCCAGCAGCCGCGGUAAUACGUAGGGCGCAAGCGUUGUCCGGAAUUAUUGGGCGUAAAGAGCUCGUAGGCGGCUUGUCACGUCGGUUGUGAAAGCCCGGGGCUUAACCCCGGGUCUGCAGUCGAUACGGGCAGGCUAGAGUGUGGUAGGGGAGAUCGGAAUUCCUGGUGUAGCGGUGAAAUGCGCAGAUAUCAGGAGGAACACCGGUGGCGAAGGCGGAUCUCUGGGCCAUUACUGACGCUGAGGAGCGAAAGCGUGGGGAGCGAACAGGAUUAGAUACCCUGGUAGUCCACGCCGUAAACGGUGGGAACUAGGUGUUGGCGACAUUCCACGUCGUCGGUGCCGCAGCUAACGCAUAAGUUCCCGCCUGGGAGUCGGCCGCAAGGCUAAAACUUAAAGGAAUUGAACGGUCGUGAGAGUGCGAGACGACGACGAGGAGAGG
rnacentral:rRNA from 1 species